ACAAAAUCCAUGCUGUGCUGUGAAGCAGCCGUGGGGGCCAACCCAAGCCUGUGUUAGAAUCACUCCGCAACCCCACACCUCGUGACGGAGGAUGCCUGCUGGACAGACCCACAACAGAAGAUAGAGGCCUAAAGUGAGUGUCUCCCGCUCCCAGAAGGGCCCCUGCAGCGCCCCAACCUGCUUGUCUGCCAUGCGACCGACUUCUAUCUGGGCAACUUUCAAGUCCGCUGGUUUCUGAAUGGACAGGAGGAAACAGCUGGGAUUGUGUCCACCAACAUGACCCAUAAUGGAGAUUGGACGUUCCAGAUUCUGGUGAUGCUGAAAUUACCCCCAAGCGGGGAGACACCCACACCUGCCACGUGGAGCACUCCAGCCUGGACAGUCCUGUCACCAUGGAGUAGCAUAAUCCUGAUAACCAUCUAGACACCACAUUCUGAAGAGCAGAGGACUCUGUUGGUCUUUGGUCCACUCAUCCUGUCUUAUGUGUCUAUAUACUGGGGUCAUAUCUACCCCCAUCUUUUUCCUAUAAAAGCUCCUGGGAAUAGUUCAGAGCUGGGGACAAUGAAGCCUUGCCUGUCUCUGGCCUGGGGGAUGCUAAGGAUUCAGAGAUCUCUGCCCCUGUCAGAAAAUCUAGGAAACUCAGACACCUUCUGCAUUGCCCUCACACAUGGGAACUCUAUUCUUCCUUCAGCCUUUCAGCCUAUUCUGAGUUAUUUUGAGAGGCAACUACCAGAAUCAACAUGUGUGCCAUUUUUGAAGUCACACCCUAAGUUCCAGAACUCACGGUCCUUUCUAAACUUCCUCUUUCUCAAAGGUGUCUAUCUCUCACUGUCCUCAUGCUGGUAUUCUGCAUCAGGCUCCAGACUCUCAGACAGUAACCUGAGGUGGGUGUGGCAGGUGGAGAUGAGACUGACCGUGGGGUCUGUUCUUCCCAGAGACACAGUCUGAUUCUGCCUGGAGAAAGAUGCUGGCUGGAAUCCUUGGCUUUGUGCUUCGGUUCAUCUUCCUUGUAGUGGGCAUCUCUGUGCACAUGAGGAGCAAGAAAGGUUCCUGAUCUGACCAGAAAGACUAUAUGUGCUUUGCAACAAGUAUGUUUCUGUUUCUUCAGUCCCAGAGGCUGGCUCUGGGAUAGACCCUCAACCUCCCAAGAGGAUGCUACUGCCAAGUACUUGCUCUGAAACUACUUCCUAGAGUUCUUCUCUGUGAUUCCAUGCACAGUUUCUCUCAUGGGGCCUCCAACCAAGUUCCCUUCUCCUUAGCUCAAUAAUUAAUAAAAUCCAGUGUCAUUGUCUCUUUUCUCUUAAGAACAUGAACUAAGUCAC
rnacentral:lncRNA from 1 species